rnacentral:rRNA from 1 species
UUACCUGGGCUUGACAUGGAGAGAAUCUCCUAGGAAACAGGAGAGUGCCUCGCAAGAGGAGCUCUCACACAGGUGCUGCAUGGCUGUCGUCAGCUCGUGCCGUGAGGUGUUGGGUUAAGUCCCGCAACGAGCGCAACCCCCAUCCCCAGUUGCCAUCAUUAAGUUGGGCGACUCUGAGGAAACUGCCCGGGUUAACCGGGAGGAAGGCGGGGAUGACGUCAAGUCCUCAUGGCCCUUAUGUCCAGGGCUACACACGUGCUACAAUGGGCGGUACAAAGGGUCGCAAACCCGCGAGGGGGAGCUAAUCCCACAAAAUCCGCUCCUAGUUCGGAUUGGAGUCUGCAACCCGACUCCAUGAAGUCGGAGUUGCUAGUAAUCGCGGAUCAGCAAUGCCGCGGUGAAUACGUUCCCGGGCCUU